rnacentral:rRNA from 1 species
UAGGGAAUCUUCCACAAUGGACGCAAGUCUGAUGGAGCAACGCCGCGUGAGUGAAGAAGGUCUUCGGAUCGUAAAACUCUGUUGUUAGAGAAGAACACGAGUGAGAGUAACUGUUCAUUCGAUGACGGUAUCUAACCAGCAAGUCACGGCUAACUACGUGCCAGCAGCCGCGGUAAUACGUAGGUGGCAAGCGUUGUCCGGAUUUAUUGGGCGUAAAGGGAACGCAGGCGGUCUUUUAAGUCUGAUGUGAAAGCCUUCGGCUUAACCGGAGUAGUUCAUUGGAAACUGGAAGACUUGAGUGCAGAAGAGGAGAGUGGAACUCCAUGUGUAGCGGUGAAAUGCGUAGAUAUAUGGAAGAACACCAGUGGCGAAAGCGGCUCUCUGGUCUGUAACUGACGCUGAGGUUCGAAAGCGUGGGUAGCAAACAGGAUUAGAUACCCUGGUAGUCCACGCCGUAAACGAUGAAUGCUAGGUGUUGGAGGGUUUCCGCCCUUCAGUGCCGCAGCUAACGCAAUAAGCAUUCCGCCUGGGGAGUACGACCGCAAGGUUG